CAGUAGCCACGGUAAUACAGAGGGUGCAAGCGUUAAUCGGAAUUACUGGGCGUAAAGCGCGCGUAGGUGGUUUGUUAAGUUGGAUGUGAAAUCCCCGGGCUCAACCUGGGAACUGCAUCCAAAACUGGCAAGCUAGAGUAUGGUAGAGGGUGGUGGAAUUUCCUGUGUAGCGGUGAAAUGCGUAGAUAUAGGAAGGAACACCAGUGGCGAAGGCGACCACCUGGACUGAUACUGACACUGAGGUGCGAAAGCGUGGGGAGCAAACAGGAUUAGAUACCCCCGUAGUCCCUGUCUCUUAUAA
rnacentral:rRNA from 1 species